rnacentral:lncRNA from 1 species
GGUGUUUCCUACCAUGCACCAUGAACGAAGUCCUACAAGAAAUUCAAUAGAUGGGGAUCGACGAUCCAACUACGACUGGUACCGUCACGCACCAUCGAGGCACGAGAGGAACGACCGGCCGUGAUCAGAAAAACAAAGAGACCAAAGCAGAAGCAGAAGCCGAGACCGACCCAUACACGGAGUAAUUAACACAAUUUCCGGAGGCUUCUCCGGGGGAGGAGCUACCUCAUUG